UACAAUACAUUAGACUACACCACUGAGCCCAUCGCACUUCCUGGCGGCCUGAUACACCGAAGGCAGCAUCAUUUCACGGAGAAAGAGAGAAAUCAAAAUAAAGAGACGGAUCGAGGGACUGUGCUUUGUGCUGGAAUUUGUUGCAGGAAAAACAGCUGUUACACAAUCUCCUGGGCUGUAAAUUUAUCGUGUUUCUUUUACCCUUAUAGUGUUUUAAAGCUUGUUUCUUUCGGCACGCAGCCGCGGGGUUUCCGCACCCGCAUACCGGGCUGUCACAUUUGGUGUAUAUGCGCUUGGCUGAGGAGCCAGUGGUCCGAUGCCAUCUGUGGGAUUAUGACUGGACGCCUCUAAAUCAGACAGGAGCUUUUUGACAACGAAUAAGACCAACUUUUAUCCAAACUGUUGUUUUUUUUUUAAUCCUAGGCCUGAUAUUUCCUCUUCAGAACGAAAGUAAAACGUUUAGAAUGACGCAGCCGUCUUUGUUAAAGCUCCGACGACAUGUAACACUUUGUUUUAAUCUUUUAAAAUACAUAUGAACGACAUUUUGACACAGCGAUGAAGUGGAUAACUAUCCUAUGGUUCGGAUCUAUUUUCAUUAUUUAUCUGCUCAUCAUUGCAGCCACCACAGUGCCAAAGGCAGAGCAAAGAGAGCGAAGAGAGGGGCGCGAAAAUGUUCAAUUAAUUUGCCCAAAGAGCCUGGAAGCAGCGGUCGGAGACGACAUCACUUUAGACUUCCACCUCGAGUCUGGAUCCGAUGCGACAAAGUGGAAAGCCUUUAUUUUUGAAUGCAAACAAAAUUCCGACAAUGCCCUGGUUUACAAAAGUAGAGGAUUUUUCUAAAGAAGAACAGGCAAACCGAUUCCGUGGCAGAGUAUCUCCUGACAGCAGCUGGGAACUAAGCGAAGGGAAACUAGCGUGGAAAAUCUCCCCAUUUCGAGAAAGUGACGCGGGAACAUACUACUGCUGGGUUGGAACUAGAAUACCCAAAUUCCCCUGCUCUACUGAACUGAAGAUCAAACAGGUGGACGAUCCAGGAAUGCAGAACAAAGCCCAAUACCCAUCCAUACCGAACCAGAGCCAAAAAAGUAUCCCGGACGUGACAGUGACAUUGGUAUUGGCUACGUUUGCAUUGCUGUGUUUGCUGCAUUACUAGAGAAAUAUGGAACGAUCAGUACGAGUUCAAGAAGAGCCAGGAGAGGACGCAACGGUCAGACAAGAAAAGAGAAAAUUAAUAUUCCUACCAACCUAAGCCCAGACAAUAUGUAAAAACACUUAAACAUAACUCUUCAGCUACAAGCCAAUAUAAGCUACCAAAUAAGAAAAAGCUUUUAUUACAUCCUUGUCUUUAAUCAGGUGCCUCCAGGAAAACACACUGGUUGCUACAACAAUGAUAAAGCAUUAUUUUUCUAUUUUUCUUCUCAAAAAAAGGCAACCCAUAGUUUGUUUAUUCUCUGUAUCCUGGAUGUACCUGAUAGCAGCAGCUCCUCUGUUGGACCUCAUGAUGGUGCUGUUGGCGUACUGUUAUUUUGUUUGAAUACAGCUGCUCUGGGAGAUAAAAUGCACCUGAGACUACAGUACUGAGAUUGCACAAACUAGUACGGAUGGGCAAAAGAAUAAGAUACUGCAUUAUAUCGCACAUAUUUUUUGUGGCAAUACUGUAUCGAUACACAGAUGAAAGUAUUGGUCUUUGCUUGAAUUGUACAUGAGAUUUUAACUUUUAGGUACUAGAUGAAGGAAAUCAAUUGUGUUUACAGUCCACUACAUGUUUUAUCUUUUUAGAUAACACAGACGUUGACCAAGUUUUCGUUUGGGGGUGUAAUUUGAAGCUGAAAGAAAAAGGUCAUAAAUUGCAAUAUAUCUGAAUAUAUCGUGACAAUAUCGCAUCAGGAAGGCCUCUGGUGCUUCCCACCCCUACAAACUAAGUUGCAAGGAUGAAGGAUGAAAGAAGGGAUUACUCUGCUGCCUCAGUGUUUGGAAGGUCUGUUAGGUUAUAGUUUACAGUUUAAUCAUGAAAUGUUUAAUUUGAUAUACGUGCUUUUUGAUACUUGAGCUUUUGAUACAUUAGAUCAUGAUUUUAUAAAUCAUCUCAGGGAUUUCUUAAAGUCUAUAUUGAUUUUUAAAUAGUUUUCCUUACUGUGCUGCCGUUAACAGUGCUUUUGCUUCACUUCAUUGUAUCAUUGUUUUUUACUGACUGUGAAGAACUUUACAUCUGUUCUGGAAAGCACUACUUAAGGUUGUAUUUUGGAAUUGCUCAUUCUUUUAUUCCACAACCAAAAUCACACAACAAUUGUGAGCUUUGUAAGCUGUGAAAUAUCUGGACACAGGAUGAGGUGCUGGAAUUUUUGAUUGUUCGUUAAUAAAAAUAUGUUUUCAUCA